rnacentral:rRNA from 1 species
CACGUAGGGGGCAAGCGUUGUCCGGAUUCAUUGGGCGUAAAGAGCUCGUAGGCGGUCUGUCGCGUCUGCUGUGAAAUCUGGGGGCUCAACCUCCAGCCUGCAGUGGGUACGGGCAGACUAGAGUGCGGUAGGGGGAGAUUGGAACUCCUGGUGUAGCGGUGGAAUGCGCAGAUAUCAGGAAGAACACCGAUGGCGAAGGCAGAUCUCUGGGCCGUAA